rnacentral:rRNA from 1 species
UACGAAGGGGGCUAGCGUUGCUCGGAAUCACUGGGCGUAAAGGGUGCGUAGGCGGGUUUUUAAGUCAGGGGUGAAAUCCUGGAGCUCAACUCCAGAACUACCUUUGAUACUGAAGAUCUUGAGUCCGGGAGAGGUGAGUGGAACUGCGAGUGUAGAGGUGAAAUUCGUAGAUAUUCGCAAGAACACCAGUGGCGAAGGCGGCUCACUGGCCCGGUACUGACGCUGAGGCACGAAAGCGUGGGGAGCAAACAGG